GGGCCUGUAGCUCAGCAGCUAGGGCGCCAGCCACAUAAGCCGGAGCUUGCAGGUUCGAAUCCAGGCCAGGCCUG
rnacentral:tRNA from 1 species